rnacentral:rRNA from 1 species
CCUACGGGAGGCAGCAGUGGGGAAUAUUGGGCAAUGGGCGCAAGCCUGACCCAGCAACGCCGCGUGAAGGAAGAAGGCCCUCGGGUUGUAAACUUCUUUUAUCAGGGACGAAGCAAGUGACGGUACCUGAUGAAUAAGCCACGGCUAACUACGUGCCAGCAGCCGCGGGAAUACGUAGGUGGCAAGCGUUAUCCGGAUUUACUGGGUGUAAAGGGCGUGUAGGUGGGAAAGCAAGUCAGAUGUGAAAACCAUGGGCUCAACCUGUGGCCUGCAUUUGAAACUGUUUUUCUUGAGUACUGGAGAGGCGGACGGAAUUCGUGGUGUAGCGGUGAAAUGCGUAGAUAUUAGGAAGAACGCCGAUGGCGAAGGCAGUCUACUGGACAGCAACUGACGCUGAGGCGCGAAAGCGUGGGGAGCAAACAGGAUUAGAUACCCGGGUAGUC